rnacentral:rRNA from 1 species
UACGUAGGGUGCAGGCGUUAAUCGGAAUUACUGGGCGUAAAGCGUGCGCAGGCGGUCUUUUAAGUCAGAUGUGAAAUCCCCGGGCUUAACCUGGGAACUGCGUUUGAAACUGGAAGGCUAGAGUGUGGCAGAGGGGGUGGAAUUCCGACGUGUAGCAGUGAAAUGCGUAGAGUAUGUGGAGGACACCGAUGGCGAAGGCAGCCCCUGGGCUAACACUGACGCUCAUGCACGAAAGCGUGGGGAGCAACAGGAUAG